rnacentral:tRNA from 1 species
GUCCAGGGAUGGGAAUCGAACCCACAGAGUUCCGUUCUAGGGCAUAUGCCAUGUCCACUAGGCUACCCUGGA